AACAAACGCUGGCGGCGUGCCUAACACAUGCAAGUCGUACGAGAAAGGGUCUUUCGGGAUCUGAGUAAAGUGGCGCACGGGUGAGUAACGCGUGGAUAAUCUGCCCUUCAGUUGGGAAUAACUCAUCGAAAGGUGGGCUAAUACCGAAUAACGCUGUGAGACUUUGGUCGAUCAGCCAAAGAGAGCCUCUGCUUGCAUGCCCUCGCUGAAGGAUGAGUCCGCGUACCAUUAGCUAGUUGGUAGGGUAAUGGCCUACCAAGGCGACGAUGGUUAGCUGGUCUGAGAGGAUGAUCAGCCACACUGGAACUGAGACACGGUCCAGACUCCUACGGGAGGCAGCAGUGAGGAAUCUUGCGCAAUGGGGGCAACCCUGACGCAGCAACGCCGCGUGAGUGAGGAAGGUCUUCGGAUCGUAAAGCUCUGUGGGGUGAGACGAACAGCUGGGGUUCGAAUAGGGCCUUGGUCUGACGGUAUCACCUUAGCAAGCACCGGCUAACUCUGUGCCAGCCGCCGCCGUAACAC
rnacentral:rRNA from 1 species